AAGUCGUAACAAGGUCUCCGUUGGUGAACCAGCGGAGGGAUCAUUACUGAGUACUACACUCUCUACCCUUUGUGAACUAUUAUACCUGUUGCUUCGGCGGCGCCCGCAAGGGUGCCCGCCGGUCUCAUCAGAAUCUCUGUUUUCGAACCCCGACGAUACUUCUGAGUGUUCUUAGCGAACUGUCAAAACUUUUAACAACGGAUCUCUUGGCUCCAGCAUCGAUGAAGAACGCAGCGAAACGCGAUAUGUAAUGUGAACUGCAGAAUUCAGUGAAUCAUCGAAUCUUUGAACGCACAUGGCGCCUUCCAGUAUCCUGGGAGGCAUGCCUGUCCGAGCGUCGUUUCAACCCUCGAGCCCCUGUGGCCCGGCGUUGGGGAUCUGCCACGGCAGGCCCCUAAAACCAGUGGCGGACCCGAAGGGCCCUCUCCUUUGCGCAGUAGCAUUCGCCUCGCAUCGGGAGUCCUCGGCGUCCUGCCUCUAAACCCCCCACAAGCCCGCUUCGGCGGCACCAAGGUUGACCUCGGAUCAGGUAGGAAUACCCGCUGAACUUAA
rnacentral:rRNA from 1 species